rnacentral:misc_RNA from 1 species
UCAGUUUACACUGAGAAAACAUUACUAAAUUCAGAAAUCAACUAUCGAUGAGAGACCAUGUGUUUCUCAAAUGUUCAUAGACCAUCUCAAAAUUCCAUGGACACUUCCGAAAACAGAACCACUUUGUUUGCUUAUCUUGGAGGUGGAGGUGGCGGUGGAGGGGGAAGCAUUUGAGAUUUUGCAAAUCCAAUCCAAGCAACAAUGCCAACAGCUAGAAUUAUCCAUCCAUAUAUGUCAUACUUGAGAUCACUGCUUUUCUUCUUCUUUGAACUCUUAGCACUUGAUGAAGUAGAAGGUCCAGAAGCAGGUGCAGCCCCCAUCACGCCUGUUGAGCUAAACCAUGCUUGUGAAUCUCCAUGUGUAAUUCUGGAGCCUUAGCAGCCACUUCUAGGGACCUGCGAUAUAUUUCAUUCUCCGGGUCCUCAUCAACAGCUUGCUGAAAGAAGACAGUUGCUUUUUCAAAAGACUCCUUAGCCUCAUCUUGAUCAGGGGUUAAAAAAGCAAAAGAAGUAUGAGCAUUUCCUAGGCACCAAAGAGUAUCAUGUUUCUUUGGCUGCACCAACAAUGCUUCCUCCAGCUUUGAAAUGCCAUCUAGUAUCAUUUUUUUGGAAUC